rnacentral:rRNA from 1 species
AUGGUGAAGCUGGGGUGUUCUCGGUUUCUUCUUUCUUGCCAUGUUCUUCUCUGCCUUUCGGCGAUUUGGGUCCUGGCCAUGGCGGAUGUACCGGCAGGCCAGCGUCCCGGCUGCCCGGCCAAGUGCGGGGACGUCGACAUCCCGUUCCCGUUCGGCAUCGGCGACAAGUGCGCUUUGCACAGCGGCUUUAACCUCAGCUGCACGAACACGUCUGUGGAUGGCGUCAAGAAGCCUCUUAAGGGGAAUUUCGAGGUGACUAAGAUCAUUUUGCCUGAGGCCAAGGUCCGAAUGAAUACCAGGGCGAUCUCGUCGCAGUGCUAUGACCCAGCCGCUAGAAGUAUGAACUACAUUAACUUUGGGCUGAACCUCACCGAUUCACCUUUCUGGAUAUCCGAGGUGGAUAACAAGAUUAUCGUCAUCGGGUGCAAUACUCUCGCUUAUAUGACAAGCUCUACUUAUGUAAUAGGUUGCCGUUCAACAUGCAAGAACGUCACCCUCGAGAACGGCAAAUGCUCUGGUGCUGGCUGCUGCCAAGCCGAUGUCCCAAAAGGCAUACAGUAUUAUCAUGGCUAUUUCAACGAAAACUACAACACUUCUACCUGGCCAGACAACCCUUGCAGCUACGUGACAUUGAUGGAAAAGGCAGCUUUCAGUUUCAACACCAGCUAUGUGAGAUCAAAUUCUUCAGUGUUCGAUGAGACAUCCAAUGGGGUAGUUCCAAUUGUCCUGGACUGGAAAAUAGAUGCUCACGCUUGCGAGGAAGCUAAGAACACGAGUUCUUACGCAUGUGUUAGCAGCAACAGUGUGUGUGUGAAUGCCACCACCAUCGAGCCAGGUUACCUCUGCAAUUGCUCCGAUGGGUACAGAGGUAACCCAUACAUCACGGACGGAUGCCAAGAUAUUAAUGAGUGCCUUGAAAAUGCUAAUGCUUGUGGCAAUGGGAUCUGUGAGAACACGCCGGGGAAUCACACCUGCUCAUGCAACCCAGGAAGUUCCAUGGUGAAUGAUGUUUGCGUUGAAAAGCCUUCCCGUUUUCCGGUGAUGCCUGUUGUAGGUGCAAGUGUUGGAGUAGUCGUCUUUGUGGUUGCUUUAGCAUGUGCAUGCAUGAUCCAAGAGAGAAGAAAGCUACAGAAAAUGAAACGAGACUACUUUCGGCAGCACGGUGGUCUAAUAUUAUUUGAUGAGAUGAGGUCAAAGCAAGGUAUUGCAUUCAAAAUCUUCACGGAAGAAGAACUGCAGCAAGCCACGAACAGGUUUAGUGAGCAACAAGUACUUGGUCAAGGGGGCUAUGGAACCGUGUACAAGGGGAUUCUUAAGGGCGACGUGGAAGUAGCGGUGAAGAGAUGCAAGACCAUUGACGAGCAACAAAAAAAAGAAUUUGGUAAAGAGAUGCUAAUCUUGUCCCAGGUCAACCAUAGAAACAUUGUGAAGCUCCUCGGGUGUUGCCUCGAAGUGGAAGUCCCCAUGCUGGUCUACGAGUUCGUCCCAAACGGCACCCUCUUCCAGCUUAUACACGGUAACCAUGGCAUGCGUAUCUCCCUGGCUACUCGCUUGGGGAUCGCCCACGAGUCCGCCGACGCGAUUGCCUACCUCCACUCAUCGGCUUCGACGCCGAUCCUCCACGGCGAUAUCAAGUCCCCCAACAUUCUUCUUGACAUGGACCACCAAGCUAAAGUUUCUGACUUUGGCGCCUCCAUCCUGGCACCAACUGAUAAGUCACAAUUCAUCACACUGGUACAUGGAACAUGCGGGUACCUUGACCCGGAGUACAUGCAAACCAACCUGCUAACGGACAAGAGCGACGUGUACAGCUUUGGGGUUGUUUUGUUGGAGCUACUCACGGCCAAAUUGCCAUUUAAUUUUAAUCCGGAUGUCCCUGCCCACGAGAAGAGCCUAUCAAUGAUGUUUAUGUAUGCCAUGAAGGAGAAUAAGCUCGAUCAAAUCUUGGAUGUUGAGAUCAAGGAUGGGGAUAACACAGAGAUUAUUGAAGAGAUCGCGGAGCUAGCGAUGCGAUGCUUAGAGAUGUGUGGUGACAAUAGGCCAUCGAUGAAGGAAGUUGCGGAGAAGCUUGAUAGUCUGAGGAAGGUGAUGCAACAUCCAUGGGUACAGCGGAACCCUGAAGAGAUGGAAUGCCUACUUGGAGAGCCCUCAUCGAUGGCCAGCUCGGCAAUAACCAGUGCCGAAUAUUUCAGCAUCGAGAAGAAAGCUGUUAAUGAUCUGCAGUCAGGUCGUUAA